UACGUAGGGGGCUAGCGUUGUCCGGAAUCAUUGGGCGUAAAGAGCGCGUAGGCGGCCAGAUAAGUCCGGUGUGAAAGUCACAGGCUCAACCUGUGAAUGCCGCUGGAAACUGUCUGGCUAGAGUCCGGAAGGGGCGAGUGGAAUUCCUGGUGUAGCGGUGAAAUGCGCAGAUAUCAGGAGGAACACCCGUGGCGAAGGCGGUUCUCUGGGACGGUACUGACGCUGAGACGCGAAAGCGUGGGGAGCGAACAGG
rnacentral:rRNA from 1 species